UUAUAUCAAUCCUUCACAUUUCUUUGAUUUAUGAAAGAAAAAAUGUUGCAACAUAUAGAAGAUCAGAGGAAGGAAAGGAGGAAGCAGAAGCUAGAAAAAUCUAGAUUGUCUUCAUGAGCCAGACAGAGGAUGGCAGAAGCUGGCCCAAGUCUGGAGCUGGCUGAAGAUGAGGCCAAUCUCUUUGCAGCAAAGCCCCCAAAGCAUGUGGAUCAUGUGGAUGGAUUUUUUCACUUUCUGCCUUGUCAUUUAGUCUAACAACUGAGACUCAGAUGAGAGCUGAGUAAAAGGUCUCAGUCAGGCCACAUGAACCACCUCCACCUCCACUAAUUCAAGGAAGAAGAGGUGCAAAACCCAUGCCCACCUGUGUAAAUGCUGCUGCAGGUUUGAUAGAAAAUCAUGCUCAGUCACCAGCUAUAGGCAAUACACGUGUCUCUGUGAGCUCCAUCCCCACACCUCCUCCACCACCCCUUCCAUCUCCCCUGUCAAUGUCUUCAUUAGGAGCUUCAGUGACUUCAACUGCUCUCCACCAAGACCUCUCCCACCUCUGCCUCCACCUCCAAACACUGCCUUGGGAACUCCAGCAGUACCACCUCCUCCAGCGCCUUUCCACAUUUUCCCCAGCCAUCUUCACCCAGCUCCUCUUCCAGCUGCUCCUCUACACAGCCCUCUCUGCCAGGAAUUAGUGCUGUCCCAGUUCAUCCAUCCCACAAGACAUCCAAGGCUACCUCCAGCCCCACACUACCUUCUCUGGCUCCACUUGGUAUUCAACCAUCAUCAUCUGUCACAGUUGCAGUCCUGCUCAUCCUCUCUCUGGCUACAUCCAACUUCACCUACUGCUGUCCCAAGUCCCCAAGCUCCAUGAAUGACCCCAACUCCUCCAACACAAGUUACGUCUGCUUAUGAGCCGAAGUGUCAUCUCCCAGCUGUACCUAUAGUCUGGGUUGCCAAGAGUGUACUUCUGGAAGCAGUAAGGAAAGGUGUUCGGUUACACAACGUAGAAGAGCAGGGUGUAAAGAGAGCUCACCAUGAAGACAUUGAAAAUGAUGUUGCCACCGUCCUGUCUUGCCAUACUGCUGUGGAAUCUAGUGAUUCAGAAAAUGUUUCCAAAUUUGAUGAAGUAGACUGGUUGGA
rnacentral:lncRNA from 10 species